CAUAUUUGAUGAACAGGCUGUUACACAACCUGACUCAAGCGCUACAGAGUGCUGGUUUAGAUCUCUCACAGGCUAGCAUUUCUGUUCAAAUUAAUCUUGGUAAGCGGGCAAACAAAGGACUUGGCUGUGGGACAUCUACUUCUAUGAAUCAUGAUAAUAUGCCAUCUAGCAAUCAAGCAAUGGCACAAUUUAGAGAUGCAGGCAACGGAGAAGACACAGAUCAAGCUCAGAAGAGGCUGAAAACGUAGAGAAUGAUUUAUGAGCCUAUAUUUCAUCCAGAAUUCCCCUAGCUUCUUUCUGACAUGGCAUAUCUGUCGAGGUUACUGUACAUCCUUCCUUUGGGUUUGUGGAUUUUCACCCAUUCAUGAAGUUCCUUUUAGAACUACAAGCCUUAGAACUCACUAUUAUUGGUGGGGAUAUUGAGGUUUCUUAUGGUGUAGGUAUGCCAUCUGUUUUCUAGAUUGAUUGGUACAUAUAAUUAAUUCAUCACUGUUAUUGAGCUUUCGGGGUGGGAAUUUUAUCAAUCUGUUAGGUCCUUGCUACGUACGGUUAAGGGAGACUCCUUGUAAUGCAGUCUUUCAUAAACUCUGCAGUGAAGGCGGGGGGAGUGGAUUUAAUUUCAGAGGAUGUCAUUUGGUAAUAAUCUUAAUUAUGCCCUACAACUUUUCAAGCGAGCUAACUGAGUUUCAUUCCAUUGGCUUGCAAAUGUACGGCGGCAGUAAAA